rnacentral:lncRNA from 1 species
CUGACCUGGGCCCACUGUCUGGCACUCCCUAGUGAGAUGGACCCGGUACCUCAGAUGGAAAUGCAGAAAUCACCCGUCUUCUGCGUCGCUCCGAAAGAGUGGACCAGGAGGAGUUUUCAGAGGAGUCUGUGAUAGGCGCUUUGUGACUCCAGGACACGUUGAGUAUACGUGAUUGAUGAAACCAAUGGUACAUCUGGAACACUGGCUGAAAUGAAGAAUGGAAAAUGUUAGCUUUCCAGGCCUCCUCAGGCCAGGAAGGCAUACUGGAGAGAUACGGCAGCAGAGUCACACAAGCAAGGCAGCUGGAUUUGUGACAAUGAGAGAAGCGCGGGGUCAAAGAACAUAGAGUGUUUUGAGAACAGUGUCUCCAGAUGAGAGGGAAGAGAACUGAGUCUUGCUACGUUGCCCAGGACUGACUCAAAACUUCUGGGACCAUGCAAGCCUUCUGCUUCCUGAGUAACUGGGGACUACAGCUGAAGAUAUUAUGAGAGAUUUAAAGGUAAAAUUACAUACAGUUAUGCGAUUGGAUGCCAUCUGUGAUUUGUGUACAUCUACUGGUGAAUGCUCAGCAUGUAAAAGUGUGCUUCUAUAUGGUGGCCUAAAGCAAAAAACUCUCAAAAAAUAACAAAUACACCUAACAGGCAUGGAACAAUUCUUAAGGAAACAAAAUAAGAUGCACAGGAAAGCAGAUGGAGGCAGAUAUGAGUCUCACUCUGGUGGAUUAUUGUUCCAAACAGUAGCAUGAAGUAUUCAUCCGACCAUUUCAGCCGUGAGCUUCCUCUCAACAUUGUGUGAUGACCCAGAUACUGAACUUUUGUCUUUUGCCUUUUACCCCAUUUUCUAGAAUAGACAAUGCACUUUCAACUCCAGGAUGAUCAUGCAGCCUCGGGGGUCAUCAAAUGAAUUGAUUUUUCUUGGCAAUUUUUUCCUAAUAAAGUACAGCUUUCAGGUUUUUUUUUUUCUAUUUCUUUUUAUGCCCCCAAAGGAAGGAUGCCAGAAGCAGCAUAACUUGUUCUUGUCAUGUUAGUGAAUUGUAGAAAUAUUAGCAUUCUGGAUAAGAAUGCCAUGGAAGCCAGGGGCCAAAAGCUCAGCAAUCCAUAUGGUUUGCAAUAUAUACCCUUAGGCAGGCCUCAUGGGUUGUGGUUGUUUAAAAGAAAAAGAACAAACAAAUACAAAACCAAACAAAAUCAGAGGGAGAAGUAAAAAGUAAUUUCUUGAGUGAGAAAUCAGGAUGGGGGAGUCUGCCCUUUAAAACUGAUCUCCUUUGUCUGCAGUGCCCCUAAACUUGUCACCCAAUUACUCAUGGAGGAAGUCUGCAUAGACCUACAUGGGCACCCUCACAGGAAGGCAAACUCAGAUCUAUUUCCGUAUCCACCUUGUAAUUAGUUUGUACAGGGGAAAUUACUGUGGACUAAUGGAGUAGCCUCUUUCCAUUUGUGGCUUCUCUGUUAGUUUUCAGCAGGGAAAGUGUGGGACAGAAAAUUUGCUUUGUAAAAACCACAUAAAACUUUUCAAGGUACUCUUAACUCCUAGCUCUCUUAGAAAAUUAAGGUUUCCUUCUCCUAAAAGUCUAUGUUAGCUUGUUUUCAAAUAAAGUUUUGAGUUAUGUUAUUCUCUCACUAAAACUUUACCAUCAAAGUAAUACUGAAUAUAGUCACUCCUUGUAGAUGUUAGGCUGUGAUAACAAUAAUAAUAAUCUUGCAUAGUUGAUUAUAAUUUCAACAAUGAAAACACUCAUUUUAUAUUAUUAAGAUAUGAACUUAAAAUUGUACAAAUUGUAUUACAGUCUAAAUUUAUGUGAGACAGAGAAAAUAACAUUCUCAGAUGUUUUAUAAGAGACCAUUGACUAAUAAUACUUAAGUUCAAUUAUUUAAUCAUGUGCCUAUGAAGUUUAUCUAAACCUAUUUAUAAAACUCAUCUAUAUAUUAGUAUAUUAAUGCUUUGCUUACUUCUAAUUUUUAUUUUUUAUUUUAUUUUACUUUUUGAGACAAAGUCUGGCUCUGUCACCCAGGCUGGAAUGUAGUGGCACUAUCUUGGCUCACUGCAACCUCCCCAUCCUGGGCGCAUGUGAUCCUGAUCCUCCCACCUCCGCCUCCUGAGUAGCUGGGACCACAGUUGUGCUCCAGUAUGCCCAGCUAAUUUUGUACUUUUGGUAGAGAUGGGGUUUCACUGUGUUGUCCAGGCUGGUCUUGAACUACUGCACGCAAGUGAUCCACCAGCCUCGACUUCCCAAAGUGCUAGAAUGACAGGCAUGAGCCACUGUGCCGGCCCGAUACUUUGCUUACUUCUAAGGAUUAAUUUUAUGUGAUGAUUCUUUGCUAACAAUGAAGUUUUUUUGUUUUGUUUUGUUUUUUGUUUUUUGGUUUUUUUUAGUUCUACUGCAUAGUGUGGUAAAUACAGUUUAUAGAGUAUUGAACAUUUCCAAAUGGCUAAAAGAGUAAAUUUUAAAUGUUCUCACUAAAAAAAUGCUAAGUAUUUAAGGUGAUGGAUAUGUUAAGCAGCUUGAUUUAAUUUUUAUUCCACAUUAUACUCAUAAAUCAUAACAUUACUUUGUACCCCGUAUAUUUAUACAGCUAUAGAU